UACAGAGGUCUCAAGCGUUAUUCGGAAUUAUUGGGCGUAAAGGGCGCGUAGGCGGCCAUGCGUGUCUUCCGUGAAAUCCCUCGGCUUAACUGAGGACGUGCGGAAGAAACUGCAAGGCUCGAGUCCGGGAGAGGAGGGUGGAAUUCCCAGUGUAGCGGUGAAAUGCGUAGAUAUUGGGAGGAACACCGGUGGCGAAGGCGGCCCUCUGGACCGGUACUGACGCUGAUGCGCGAAAGCGUGGGUAGCAAACGGG
rnacentral:rRNA from 1 species